UCCUUUACCUUGUACAAAGCUAUCUUUAACUGGUAUAAAUAUCUUUACUGCUAAUAAAAAUGCAUUGAGGUUUCAAUUUCUUUUCCCCUAUGGAAAACACAACUCUUGCCCAUGAUAGCCAGUUGCGGUUUGAAUAUCACCUUGACCAAAGUGAAUCGAUUUCUCCGUUCGUGCUCGAAGAUGGUACAUCAAAUCUUAUGUUCAAGACUUGGAAAUGAGAGGAUAAGUGGUACUCAGUUGUGAAAAUGUUUUUUGGUUUACUGAAUCUUCCAACCAGUUGUUGUAAUUAAUGAUGUAAUACAAGUUGGAAGUUGGAACAAGCGAGUAUAUCAGAUUUGAAAAGAGUAGGGCAAAAAUAAUAAUAAUAACAAACAAUAUUUGUCAACAGUUUGUGAAUCUUCCAUUAAAAAAUCAUUUUGUUAAACAAUUAAUCUAAUAUAAUUAUUAGCUUAACUCCCUAUCUUUACAGCCCAAAAUUUCAUUACAAA
rnacentral:lncRNA from 1 species